CCUUUAUUUAUUUGUUUGUUUGUUUGUUUGUUUGUUUGUUUGUUUGUUUUAGAUGGGGGGGUGGCUGUUGGAGAUGUCACGCUUGCCUGUCUUCCAAAACUUGAGAGAUGGAAAAUGAAUUACAGAAUGAAUUACCGAAAGCAGCUUAUACAGCACAUAUGGAGUACAAGCUCGGUCGUCUCAGCCUGUGUGUUUGCACAUUAAGAGAAAUGUCACUCACAGGAUUUAAGUCAAAGAGAGCUGACCAAAGAGACUAAUAAUCUAAAUAUACAGGCUUGGACAAGGCCAAGCACUGUAUCCUGCAGAAUCUUGGACUGAAUUAAUGCUAAGCAGCCUGCUGUGAUGUUUCACUUUCCUGUACCCACCAUCUGCCUCAUCAUUUCCAUUAGAGAGCAGGGAAUAACAGUAUUAUUUGGUGAUGUCCUUACAUAGAUGGUACAUUGCUUAAGAAAAGGAAGGGAAAUGUUUCAAAUGAUACAAGAGCACUUACAUGUUUGCAUUUGUUUGUAAUGUUUUGCAAAAACCUGUAAGUCUGUGGGGAAAACUAAGCAUAAUGCGAGUCGGCGGGUGUCUCAGAUCGGCCAGCUUCAAAGUGCUCGAGCUUUCAGCCUGAACAUCCUGAACCCAUACGGUCCAGCUGGCACAACUACUAGGUCCAACCGAUCCGUACAGAGUUUUAAAAUUACAGCACUUGUACAAAAUGAUUGAGUGAAUUUGACCGUUAUAUAGAAAGAAGGUAAAUUCAUUUUUAUGAAAAUCACAGUUUUCUGAAAUGAGAAGUUUUCCAAAAGCAUUGUGAUACAAAUAUAAUGUUUUUAAUACAUUUGUCACUUCAUCAUAUGUUUUUUUUUUUACAUUCUUUAAUGUGAUUUC